rnacentral:misc_RNA from 1 species
GUGGGAACAGAAUAUAUAAGCAAUUUCAAUAUCAUCAAGGUACAACAUACAGGCUGGAAGCACAUUGAGGAAUCACUUUGGGAAAUCUGACUCAAUUAGGGGCUUCUAACCAAAGGAAUUCAAAUGCCAAUCCCAAUUCUUAUAUAACCAGUUACAAGAGAACCUUAAAUAUCAAAUAUAAUUCCUGUACAUCUGUGAUUAUGAACGCCAAACUGAGUUGGAGAUUGCCAAUUGUCAUGUUAAUAUUUACAAAGGCAUCCUGACCACCAACUGAAACCUACCCACAUUAGUAGCACCAUGGGAAUCAUGAGAUGAUGCAAUACAAGUCCGCUUCAAGCAUCUUAUGCCGUCACUUCCAUGAAUUCCACAGCCUUGCAUUCCUUCUCAGAAGACUCAAAGACCUCUCUCUAUUUUUUCGUUAUUGUCUUUCACAUCAUCAUCAACAUCAUCGUCAUCAUUGCCUUGAACUUCAUCUACUUUAUCAUGACCGACAUUAAUAUCAUUACCACCAUCCUCAUCAGCCUUAUCAUCAGAGUCCAUAUCCUCCAGGAUGACAACAUCAGGUUUUUUCUCUUCAGCGUUAUCAACUUCAGCACUUGUAGGAACUUCAGUACAGGACAAAGAAAAACCACUGGGGUUCAUGUCCUUGGCAAUCGUUGAAGACAUGGACAUUUUGGCGUCUGGGUUAAUUGUUGCAGAUAUGACUGAAAGUAUAUCAGGUUUUGCCUGAAUAUCAAUCCAUUGAUUUCCCACCCAAUCUCUGGAAGAUCUUAGAUCCCUUUUGUGUAUGCUCAAGAAAAAUCUUUCACCAGGAAAGUAAACAUGCAGAAUAUCAUCACUGCUACUGCUGAUUCCGGUUACCACCCCCUCCCACCAGCCAUCACUCCACCAUGCAUCAACUGCAGAGCCAACCUCAAAAGCCACGCCUGUUUGUUCAUUUACAGGAGGGGCUGGUCGAAUUGUUGGACGGCCUGGGCACCUCAUGCCAAGCUUAUCAAGCACAGCCAAUUAAGCCGGGAUCCAUUCCUCAAGAUUGCCAUACUCGUCCGCAUCCUGCAAAUCAUCAUAUUGAACUUUUAUCUGUUUUCGAGACACCUGCAAGAUGGUACACUUAAACCAGCAGCCUCGUAUACCACUAUCUUGGCACAGCACUUCAAUCUUUUCAUCAACAUCAAAUAGUGGGCUACAUCGAUGCUGAGACUCAACAUGUGGCAUACCAUAUCUUGGGUUGAAAUACGAUGGCUCCAAAGUCAUCAUCUGGCUUCCAGAAAUUCCAAUUCCUGAAUGAUCAGUCACAAAUGUUUCACUCCUACCACUUCUAGUUCUCUUGGCUCCCAAUUUCACAUUCUCAUCUGGACUCAAUCCUUCAUCUUCUUCACCAGCUAGGCCAUAGUCUAAGCCCAUAGAGUCAGCCCCAGUAAAUGGUUUGGAAUUCAAACAAGAGAGAAUUGGUUGAUCAAAGUACCCACGCAAUUUACUCAAAUCAAAAGGCUUUACUUUAUUGCUUCUGAACUGCCU